rnacentral:rRNA from 1 species
AGUCGAGGGGAAACGACAUCGAAAGCUUGCUUUUGAUGGGCGUCGACCGGCGCACGGGUGAGUAACGCGUAUCCAACCUGCCCACCACUUGGGGAUAACCUUGCGAAAGUAAGACUAAUACCCAAUGACGUCUCUAGAAGACAUCUGAAAGGGAUUAAAGAUUUAUCGGUGAUGGAUGGGGAUGCGUCUGAUUAGCUUGUUGGCGGGGUAACGGCCCACCAAGGCGACGAUCAGUAGGGGUUCUGAGAGGAAGGUCCCCCACAUUGGAACUGAGACACGGUCCAAACUCCUACGGGAGGCAGCAGUGAGGAAUAUUGGUCAAUGGGCGAGAGCCUGAACCAGCCAAGUAGCGUGCAGGAUGACGGCCCUAUGGGUUGUAAACUGCUUUUAUAAGGGAAUAAAGUGAGUCUCGUGAGACUUUUUGCAUGUACCUUAUGAAUAAGGACCGGCUAAUUCCGUGCCAGCAGCCGCGGUAAUACGGAAGGUCCGGGCGUUAUCCGGAUUUAUUGGGUUUAAAGGGAGCGUAGGCCGGAGAUUAAGCGUGUUGUGAAAUGUAGACGCUCAACGUCUGCACUGCAGCGCGAACUGGUUUCCUUGAGUACGCACAAAGUGGGCGGAAUUCGUGGUGUAGCGGUGAAAUGCUUAGAUAUCACGAAGAACUCCGAUUGCGAAGGCAGCUCACUGGAGCGCAACUGACGCUGAAGCUCGAAAGUGCGGGUAUCGAACAGGAUUAGAUACCCUGGUAGUCCGCACGGUAAACGAUGGAUGCCCGCUGUUGGUCUGAAUAGGUCAGCGGCCAAGCGAAAGCAUUAAGCAUCCCACCUGGGGAGUACGCCGGCAACGGUGAAACUCAAAGGAAUUGACGGGG